UACGUAGGUGGCGAGCGUUGUCCGGAUUUACUGGGCGUAAAGAGCGCGCAGGCGGUCGUGCAAGUCGCGUGUGAAAGCCCCCGGCUCAACUGGGGAGGGUCACGCGAUACUGUUCGACUCGAAGGCAGGAGAGGGAAGCGGAAUUCCCGGUGUAGUGGUGAAAUGCGUAGAUAUCGGGAGGAACACCAGUGGCGAAGGCGGCUUCCUGGCCUGUUCUUGACGCUGAGGCGCGAAAGCUAGGGUAGCAAACGGG
rnacentral:rRNA from 1 species